UUCAGCUGCUAUAAACAUUUGUGUGGUUAUGUCACUAUAGUAUGCUGAUUUUAAAUCCUUUGGGUAUAGACCAAGGAUUUAAAAUCAGCAUACUAUAGUGACAUAGCCACACAAAUGUUUAUAGCAGCUGAA
rnacentral:miRNA from 1 species